GUUCUUUCCAGAACAUCCGAUAAAAUUGAAGCGAUAUAGAAAAGAUUAGCUUGGUCUGUGCAAGGCUGACAAAAAUAGAGAAACAAUCGAUUUUU
rnacentral:snRNA from 1 species